rnacentral:rRNA from 1 species
UACGAAGGGGGCUAGCGUUGUUCGGAAUCACUGGGCGUAAAGGGCGCGUAGGCGGCCGAUCAAGUCGGGGGUGAAAGCCUGUGGCUCAACCACAGAAUUGCCUUCGAUACUGUUUGGCUUGAGACCGGAAGAGGUAAGUGGAACUGCGAGUGUAGAGGUGAAAUUCGUAGAUAUUCGCAAGAACACCAGUGGCGAAAGCGGCUUACUGGUCCGGUUCUGACGCUGAGGCGCGAAAGCGUGGGGAGCAAACAGG